ACCACCUCCUGGAUUCGAAGACUAUUUUUUCGACUUCUCAAACUUUCUAUGGGUGAUUUUCUUAUUUUUGGCGUUGACUUCAAGUGUCUCAAGGACAGCCAGCGAGGUACAGUUCGAUUUUAUCUAAAUAAAUAUCGCUUCUAAUGAAUUAUCACACCUUUUUCAAAGUAAAAAAACUGGAAAACUCAUUAACUUGCUCGCAGAUCAAUGCCCCAUGAACUCAAAAACCGAAGAACAACUGGUCAAAUUUUCGAAAGAUCUUCUUCAUUUUAACGUCGAGUUUUCUGCAUGUGGAAUCAUACCGUUAGAUCGUACGUUUUUAGCAAUUGUUACUGGUACUGUCGCAACAUAUUUUGUGAUUUUCAUUCAAACACUGGGACUUGAUAGCUAAUUAUUUCGAGCAUUCAAAGAAAAAAACACAUUUUUUAUUUUUGAAUUGAAAUCAAACAAUAUAAGAUCAAUUUGUAAUUGUUCAAUGAAUUACAUCUUUAUCAGAGAACUAUCAGUGAGAGUAAAAAAACGGGAAAAAUUAUUAGCCUGCUUACCGAUCGAUGUCCCAUGAACCCAAAAGUCAAAAAACAAAUGACCAAAUUUUCAAAUGAUCUUCUGCAUUUUGACGUCAAGCUUUCUGCAUGUGGGAUCGUACCAUUGGACAGAAGUCUCAUCGGAACAAUAACUGGUACUAUUGCGACGUAUCUUGUGAUUUUCAUCCAAUCUAGCGCACUUUCAACACAAUUUAAUUGAGUUCAACAGAACUUACGAUGUUUAUAGAAUUAUUUCUUCAUGAGCACGCGAUUACUCCACUAGAUGAAUUGCAAAAACUUAUCGAACAUAUUAAUCGUAUCACAAUUACAUAAAAGUAUGUUUUACUUGAUAACUAUCUGUCAAUUAUUUAAAUUGAAUUGUCGAGUGAUAAAUAAAGUAAUUUAAAUAGCCA